GACGAACGCUGGCGGCGUGCUUAACACAUGCAAGUCGAACGGAAAGGCCCCUUCGGGGGUACUCGAGUGGCGAACGGGUGAGUAACACGUGGGUGAUCUGCCCUGCACUUUGGGAUAAGCCUGGGAAACUGGGUCUAAUACCGGAUAUGACCAUGGGAUGCAUGUUCUGUGGUGGAAAGCUUUUGCGGUGUGGGAUGGGCCCGCGGCCUAUCAGCUUGUUGGUGGGGUAAUGGCCUACCAAGGCGACGACGGGUAGCCGACCUGAGAGGGUGAUCGGCCACACUGGGACUGAGACACGGCCCAGACUCCUACGGGAGGCAGCAGUGGGGAAUAUUGCACAAUGGGCGCAAGCCUGAUGCAGCGACGCCGCGUGAGGGAUGACGGCCUUCGGGUUGUAAACCUCUUUCGCCAGGGACGAAGCGCAAGUGACGGUACCUGGAGAAGAAGCACCGGCCAACUACGUGCCAGCCGCCGCCGUAACAC
rnacentral:rRNA from 1 species